UGUAGGCGGUUUGGUAAGUCUGGUGUGAAAUCUCCCGGCUCAACUGGGAGGGUGCGCCGGAAACUGCCGGACUCGAGUGCGGGAGAGGAGAGUGGAAUUCCUGGUGUAGCGGUGAAAUGCGUAGAUAUCAGGAGGAACACCGGUGGUGUAGACGGCUCUCUGGACCGUAACUGACGCUGAAACACGAAAGCGUGGGUAGCAAACAGGAUUAGAUACCCUGGUAGUCCACGCCCUAAACGAUGCAUAUUUGGUGUGGGUCAUUCAGUUGAUCCGUGCCGGAGCUAACGCGUUAAAUAUGCCGCCUGGGAGUACAGUCGCAAGGCUGAA
rnacentral:rRNA from 1 species